GCAUGCCAGUGAUGAUUAAAGAUAGUAUGGUGAAUUCGAUGAAUAUGCUCGCGUACCACUGAGUACGCAGCUGUGGUGAUAUACAUACAUUCAGUUCAUCUGAGGCUAGC
rnacentral:snoRNA from 1 species